UACGUAGGGUGCGAGCGUUGUCCGGAAUUACUGGGUGUAAAGAGCUCGUAGGUGGUUUGUCGCGUUGUCCGUGAAAACUCACAACUCAAUUGUGGGCGUGCGGGCGAUACGGGCAGACUGGAGUACUGCAGGGGAGACUGAAAUUCCUGGUGUAGCGGUGGAAUGCGCAGAUAUCAGGAGGAACACCGGUGGCGAAGGCGGGUCUCUGGGCAGUAACUGACGCUGAGGAGCGAAAGCGUGGGGAGCGAACAGG
rnacentral:rRNA from 1 species